AACGAACGCUGGCGGCAGGCUUAACACAUGCAAGUCGAGCGCAUCCUUCGGGGUGAGCGGCGGACGGGUGAGUAACGCGUGGGAACGUGCCCUCUUCUACGGAAUAGCCUCGGGAAACUGAGAGUAAUGCCGUAUACGCCCGCAAGGGGAAAGAUUUAUCGGAGGAGGAUCGGCCCGCGUUGGAUUAGGUGGUUGGUGGGGUAACGGCCUACCAAGCCGACGAUCCAUGGCUGGUUGGAGAGGAUGAUCAGCCGGACUGGGACUGAGACACGGCCCAGACUCCGACGGGAGGGAGCAGUGGGGAAUCUUGGACAAUGGGGGCAACCCUGGUCCAGCCAUGCGGGGGGAUCGAUGAAGGCCUUAGGGUUGUAAAGAUCUUUCAGCUGGGAAGAUAAUGACGGUACCAGCAGAAGAAGCCCCGGCUAACUCCGUG
rnacentral:rRNA from 1 species